GAUGAACGCUGGCGGCGUGCCUAAUACAUGCAAGUCGAGCGAACGGACGAGAAGCUUGCUUUUCUGAUGUUAGCGGCGGACGGGUGAGUAACACGUGGAUAACCUACCUAUAAGACUGGGAUAACUUCGGGAAACCGGAGCUAAUACCGGAUAAUAUUUUGAACCGCAUGGUUCAAAAGUGAAAGACGGUCUUGCUGUCACUUAUAGAUGGAUCCGCGCUGCAUUAGCUAGUUGGUAAGGUAGCGGCUUACCAAGGCAACGAUGCAUAGCCGACCUGAGAGGGUGAUCGGCCACACUGGAACUGAGACACGGUCCAGACUCCUACGGGAGGCAGCAGUAGGGAAUCUUCCGCAAUGCGCGAAAGCCUGACGGAGCAACGCCGCGUGAGUGAUGAAGGUCUUCGGAUCGUAAAACUCUGUUAUUAGGGAAGAACAUAUGUGUAAGUAACUGUGCACAUCUUGACGGUACCUAAUCAGAAAGCCACGGCUAACUACGUG
rnacentral:rRNA from 1 species